rnacentral:rRNA from 1 species
CCGAAUUUUUCCUCAGGAUAGUUGGUGCCUCCUAAUCGAGUUUCAUCCGGUAAAGCUAACAAUUAGAAGUAUUUUGAAAGAAAAGUCAUCAACUCAUUCCCAAGCUUUAAAUGGAUAAGAAGUGAGACUUGCUUAUGUGAAGUCUUACUUCUUCUGAAUAGAAGUACCUAAUGGGUCAUUUUUGGUAAGCAGAACAGGGGCUGUAGGAUGAGCCAGACGUGGGGUUAAAGUGCCUGAAUAAACACCCAUCAGAUAACAUGAAAGUGCUUAAGACAACAGGACGUUGGCAACCCCCCUGUCGAAACAACUAGCCCUAAAAAUGGAUGGUGCUAAAGUUUGUUUUAACAUAGUACAAAUACAUUAUUCUCCUUAGG